UUGAACGCUGGCGGAAUGCUUUACACAUGCAAGUCGAGCGGCAGCGCGGGGGCAACCCUGGCGGCGAGCGGCGAACGGGUGAGUAACAUAUCGGAACGUACCCUAUCGUGGGGGAUAACACAUCGAAAGAUGUGCUAAUACCGCAUACGACCUGAGGGUGAAAGCGGGGGAUCGCAAGACCUCGCGCGACAGGAGCGGCCGAUAUCGGAUUAGCUAGUUGGUGAGGUAAAGGCUCACCAAGGCGACGAUCCGUAGCUGGUCUGAGAGGACGACCAGCCACACUGGAACUGAGACACGGUCCAGACUCCUACGGGAGGCAGCAGUGGGGAAUUUUGGACAAUGGGGGCAACCCUGAUCCAGCCAUUCCGCGUGAGUGAAGAAGGCCUUCGGGUUGUAAACUGCUUUUGUACGGAACGAAAAAGUCUUCUCUAAUACAGGGGGCGAAUGACGGUACCGUAAGAAUAAGCACCGGCUAACUACGU
rnacentral:rRNA from 1 species